GAUCUCGACGCUUAUGCGUUCGUUGGGUAGGGGAGCGUUCUGUAAGCCUGUGAAGGUGGCCUGUGAGGGUUGCUGGAGGUAUCAGAAGUGCGAAUGCUGACAUAAGUAACGAUAAAGCGGGUGAAAAGCCCGCUCGCCGGAAGACCAAGGGUUCCUGUCCAACGUUAAUCGGGGCAGGGUGAGUCGACCCCUAAGGCGAGGCCGAAAGGCGUAGUCGAUGGGAAACGGGUUAAUAUUCCCGUACUUGGUGUUACUGCGAAGGGGGGACGGAGAAGGCUAUGUUGGCCGGGCGACGGUUGUCCCGGUUUAAGCGUGUAGGUGUGUGUUCCAGGUAAAUCCGGUUCACUUUAACACUGAGGCGUGAUGACGAGGCACUACGGUGCUGAAGCAACAAAUGCCCUGCUUCCAGGAAAAGCCUCUAAGCAUCAGGUAACAUCAAAUCGUACCCCAAACCGACACAGGUGGUCAGGUAGAGAAUACCAAGGCGCUUGAGAGAACUCGGGUGAAGGAACUAGGCAAAAUGGUGCCGUAACUUCGGGAGAAGGCACGCUGACAUGUAGGUGAAGUGAUUUACUCACGGAGCUGAAGUCAGUCGAAGAUACCAGCUGGCUGCAACUGUUUAUUAAAAACACAGCACUGUGCAAACACGAAAGUGGACGUAUACGGUGUGACGCCUGCCCGGUGCCGGAAGGUUAAUUGAUGGGGUCAGCGCAAGCGAAGCUCCUGAUCGAAGCCCCGGUAAACGGCGGCCGUAACUAUAACGGUCCUAAGGUAGCGAAAUUCCUUGUCGGGUAAGUUCCGACCUGCACGAAUGGCGUAAUGAUGGCCAGGCUGUCUCCACCCGAGACUCAGUGAAAUUGAACUCGCUGUGAAGAUGCAGUGUACCCGCGGCAAGACGGAAAGACCCCGUGAACCUUUACUAUAGCUUGACACUGAACAUUGAGCCUUGAUGUGUAGGAUAGGUGGGAGGCUUUGAAGUGUGGACGCCAGUCUGCAUGGAGCCGACCUUGAAAUACCACCCUUUAAUGUUUGAUGUUCUAACGUGGACCCGUGAUCCGGGUUGCGGACAGUGUCUGGUGGGUAGUUUGACUGGGGCGGUCUCCUCCUAAAGAGUAACGGAGGAGCACGAAGGUUGGCUAAUCCUGGUCGGACAUCAGGAGGUUAGUGCAAUGGCAUAAGCCAGCUUGACUGCGAGCGUGACGGCGCGAGCAGGUGCGAAAGCAGGUCAUAGUGAUCCGGUGGUUCUGAAUGGAAGGGCCAUCGCUCAACGGAUAAAAGGUACUCCGGGGAUAACAGGCUGAUACCGCCCAAGAGUUCAUAUCGACGGCGGUGUUUGGCACCUCGAUGUCGGCUCAUCACAUCCUGGGGCUGAAGUAGGUCCCAAGGGUAUGGCUGUUCGCCAUUUAAAGUGGUACGCGAGCUGGGUUUAGAACGUCGUGAGACAGUUCGGUCCCUAUCUGCCGUGGGCGCUGGAGAACUGAGGGGGGCUGCUCCUAGUACGAGAGGACCGGAGUGGACGCAUCACUGGUGUUCGGGUUGUCAUGCCAAUGGCACUGCCCGGUAGCUAAAUGCGGAAGAGAUAAGUGCUGAAAGCAUCUAAGCACGAAACUUGCCCCGAGAUGAGUUCUCCCUGAGACUUAAAGUCUCCUGAAGGAACGUUGAAGACGACGACGUUGAUAGGCCGGGUGUGUAAGCGCAGCGAUGCGUUGAGCUAACCGGUACUAAUGAACCGUGAGGCUUAACCUU
rnacentral:rRNA from 1 species